rnacentral:rRNA from 1 species
ACGCUCGACACCUACGGGAGGCGGCAGUGGGGAAUAUUGCACAAUGGGGGAAACCCUGAUGCAGCGACGCCGCGUGGAGGAAGAAGGUCUUCGGAUUGUAAACUCCUGUUGUUGGGGAAAAAGAGGAUGGUACCCAACAAGGAAGUGACGGCUAACUACGUGCUAGCAGCCGCGGUAAUCUGAGCGGGCUGGCAAGGC